AUGGAACUCGCCCACAUUCCAUGGUGAUUUGGGGUCAAUCACUCUGUCUCUCAGCCUUGGAGAUUGUUAUUGUGAAUAAAAUGAAAGGGAAUUUUAUAGACACCACCUUGAGCUCCCCAAAUAAUGAUGAAAUGGAAAUAUAUGAGCAGCAGUAGCAAUCCUAUGGCCUCUGGUUGUAAACUCUUGCUUUAAACUGAAGAAAUCUGAUGAUAAACCAAGUAACAUACAGCCACUGUAUUACAAUAAAAUACUUGUGUCUUCCGUGGAAUCUCACAGGGCAGGAUCAGGGACAGUAAAAACAGAACAUUGCUAGCAGAUUUAACACAUGCCUACUGAGAACAAAUACUCCAGAGUAGCUGAGAUGAUUAAUAGCAGUGUUUCCAAAAAUAAAUGUUCAGACUUCUCAUACUUGACUAAAUGAAUACAUCUUCUCAGAGACAUGCUACCGAGCAAAUAUGUCAAGAAUGUGAAAUUCUUAGCAUUUAUAAACUUUUAGAGAAUGUUCUGUUUUUCCCUUCAAGACUGACUAUAAAAACAUAAGUAUAAGUUAUAUGCCAUCGCCUUCAAUACUUCAAUAACUACUAUUCUACACUCUUUAACUUGUUUCUCUAGUGUUUAACUCUGUUAGUUCAUCUAGCAGCCUUUUUAUAAGUACAAUUUCCUCAGUUUCCUUUGUAGGUACCCAUUACAUGUUUUUUUAGGAAGCUGGGUGGGAAUCUCAUUUUUCUUCUAGGGUUGUGCUAAAAAGAAAGUUAUGUUUCUGUUUUUAUUUUAUUUAUAACAUUCCUCAUUUGUAAAGCAGUGGAGUUUGUUUUUCUGCCCUGUUUUUUUUUUUCCUUCACCCUUACAUUGAACCACCAGUGUGUUGCCAAGGAGUAAUGCACACAGAGGAGCUAAAGAAUGAGAAAAAUUCUUCUCAGCCAGGUGCUAGACAAAUCACCUAUCUGCUUUCCCAGAAACAAGUCCUGGCACUUCUGCAGUAACUGUCUACAGGACAAAUGUUUUUUGUAACGGUGGUCCUAUCUUCUGCAAAAAUAGAAGAUGCAGUGGUGGAAAAGCUUACCAUCUCUAUGGCAACUGUGACUCUGUUGCUACUUUUCUUUUCCCUGUGUGAUCAUUCACAAAGUAGGCCUUUGCCUAGCAGCCAUGGGGAAAUCACUCCCUGAAGAAAUCAGCAUGACACAACAAAACAUGAUCUGCAUCUGCAAAGAGCUUUUUAGAACCUUACAGCUCCUUAUUAUUUUUCAUUAUUUAUCAUGUAAUCUAGUUUUGGCAACUCAUGGUAUAUCUCUCAUCUUUUGGGGGGGAUUUAUGGUCCUCAGAAAAAGAAUAGAACAAUGUUUGUGUGUGUGAAUGUGUGCACGUGACUAUCUGAAUGUGCACAUGCUAGGCAAAGUUUCUUAUGCUUAUAGCAAUCAACUACCUGCCUGUAAAAAGAUAAUACUACCAUUUUUAAAUAAUUAUUAGUAUUUUAUGAAUGAAUGUUUUAUAGGAAAUGGAGAAUAUUGAACAUUCUCAAUAAAAGAGAGAUAAGGUUGAUA